UACGGAGGAUGCGAGCGUUAUCCGGAUUUAUUGGGUUUAAAGGGUGCGUAGGCGGCGCGACAAGUCAGCGGUAAAAAUUCGGGGCUCAACCCCGUCCGGCCGUUGAAACUGUCGUGCUCGAGUGAGCGAGAAGUAUGCGGAAUGCGAGGUGUAGCGGUGAAAUGCAUAGAUAUCACGCAGAACUCCGAUUGCGAAGGCAGCAUACCGGCGCUCAACUGACGCUGAGGCACGAAAGCGUGGGGAUCAAA
rnacentral:rRNA from 1 species